AUUGAACGCUGGCGGCAUGCCUUACACAUGCAAGUCGAACGGCAGCACGGGGGCAACCCUGGUGGCGAGUGGCGAACGGGUGAGUAAUACAUCGGAACGUGCCCGAUAGUGGGGGAUAGCUCGGCGAAAGCCGGAUUAAUACCGCAUACGACCUACGGGUGAAAGCGGGGGAUCGCAAGACCUCGCGCUAUCAGAGCGGCCGAUGUCAGAUUAGGUUGUUGGUGGGGUAAAGCCUACCAAGCCGACGAUCUGUAGCUGGUCUGAGAGGACGACCAGCCACACUGGGACUGAGACACGGCCCAGACUCCUACGGGAGGCAGCAGUGGGGAAUUUUGGACAAUGGGCGAAAGCCUGAUCCAGCCAUGCCGCGUGCGGGAAGAAGGCC
rnacentral:rRNA from 1 species